rnacentral:rRNA from 1 species
UGAAAAGAACUUUGAAAAGAGAGUUAAAUAGUACCUGAAAUGGUUUGCAAGGAAGCUAUGUUUGCUAGUGG